CGGCACUGCAUCGGGAACGCGGGAGCCUGCGCUCCCGUGCGUGUGCAUGUGUGUGGGCCAUUUCUGCCCCUGGGCGCGCACGGUUCGGGCGCUGAGCUCGUUCCGGCUUCUAGACAGGUGCCCCGGGCAGCGUCUCCCACUGUACUAUCGCCCGGAUACCCAGGCAGGAUUCCUGGAUGCCCAUGGCCUGGUUCGUGCCACUGAGGUUGCAACUUGAUACUCCCAAUGGAGAGAUCUGAUGGCCUGGUAAUGUCAGCACAUCCAUGUAAGUUAUAGCUCCACUGCUGUUGAAACCUGUGUUCUCUGUGCGGCACUUCCUGAUCCUCUUUACCUGCCCUCGGGCCCACAACCUGGGAAGCCCCUUUAGCUCACACAUUUCUGUUCAACCCGCAAUACUGGAUUGAGCUGUCGUGCUCCUGAGUGUCACUUCUGCUGCUUUGUCACACUUCUAACAGUCUUGUGUCAAACCAUGUGAAUAACAUCUGAAAUUAGGGCAGGAUGGUGGACUUAUGGGAAGAUGUAAAAGAAUGCCUGUACCAGGCGCAGAAGUAAACAUGAAGGAAUACUA